UACGUAGGAGGCAAGCGUUGUCCGGAAUUACUGGGCGUAAAGCGCGCGUAGGCGGUGAUCUUUGUCAGAGGUGAAAGCCCGGGGCUCAACUCCGGAAUUGCCUUUGAAACGGGAUCGCUUGAGUCCGAGAGAGGAUGGCGGAAUUCCUAGUGUAGAGGUGAAAUUCGUAGAUAUUAGGAAGAACACCGGUGGCGAAGGCGGCCAUCUGGCUCGGUACUGACGCUGAGGCACGAAAGCGUGGGGAGCAAACAGG
rnacentral:rRNA from 1 species